rnacentral:tRNA from 1 species
GCCUUUGUGGUAGUGUAAGUGGAAAACACCUCCGGCUAUCAAUCGGGAGGUCUAGGGUUCGAAUCCCUGUCAGGGCA